rfam:Oryza glumipatula chromosome 12, whole genome shotgun sequence.
AAAAAAACAAACCCUGGUUUUCCGUAUCCAACGUUUGACCGUCCGUCUUAUUUAAAAAAAUUAUAAAAAAAAUUAAAAAGACAAGUCACGCAUAAAGUAUUAAUUAUGUUUUAUCAUCCAACAACAAUAAAAUUACUAAUUAUAAAAAAAAUUCAUAUAAGACGGACAGUUAAACAUUGGACAUGGAAACCCAAGAUUUGUCUUUUU